GACGAACGCUGGCGGCGUGCUUAACACAUGCAAGUCGAACGGAAAGGCCCUGCUUUUGUGGGGUGCUCGAGUGGCGAACGGGUGAGUAACACGUGAGUAACCUGCCCUUGACUUUGGGAUAACUUCAGGAAACUGGGGCUAAUACCGGAUAGGAGCUCCUGCUGCAUGGUGGGGGUUGGAAAGUUUCGGCGGUUGGGGGUGGACUCGCGGCUUAUCAGCUUGUUGGUGGGGUAGUGGCUUACCAAGGCUUUGACGGGUAGCCGGCCUGAGAGGGUGACCGGCCACAUUGGAACUGAGAUACGGCACAGCCUCCUACGGGAGGCAGCAGUGGAGAAUAUUGCACAAUGGGCGGAAGCCUGAUGCAGCAACGCCGCGUGCGGGAUGACGGCCUUCGGGUUGUAAACCGCUUUCGCCUGUGACGAAGCGUGAGUGACGGUAAUGGGUAAAGAAGCACCGGCUAACUACGUG
rnacentral:rRNA from 1 species